ACUAGCUUGCUAGUUAGUGACACUGUGUGCUAGCUUGCUAGUUAGCUAGCACACAGUGUCGCUCCUGUCUUCUGUCAAAGACCCCAGCCACAGACGGUGCCACGUCUAGGACAAAAAGGCUUCUCAACAGUUUUUACUUCCAAGCCAUAAGACUCCUGAACAGGCGGGGCCCAAGGACACUGUCUACUGAUUACCCCCGCCUCCUGCUAGCACAUCAAGUGGGAGACUGGGGCAACAACGUGUGCUAACUAGCUAGCUUGCUGGUUAGUGACACCGUGUGCUAGUUAGCUAGCACACGGUGUCGCCCCUGCCCUGCUGUGUACCUGUGAAAACUAUGCUGACAGGCAGGGCCCAAGGACACAGUCUACCAGUCGCCACCGCCUCCCGCUACCACAGCAGGCGGGAGCGACACCGUGUGCAAACUAGCUAGCUUGCUAGUUAGCUAGCUGGCACAUGGUGUUGCCCCACCUCCUGCCUGUUGUGUACCAGAGAAAAACAUGCCCGACAGACGGGGGCAAAGGACACCAGUGUCGACCCCGCCUACCGCUAGCUACUCCAAUACAGAGCAGCGCCCCAAUUACACCCUUCUCCAUCUAUUAAUGCUGAGAAAAUAGAAUAUAUUGUCUGGAUCAUUUUUCAUACCUGAGGGAUUCCUCAAGAAACCCAGACAAAAAAAUAAAAAUAAGGGGGUACCUGUAGCCCAAUAUGUCGACCAGAGUAUGAGCGAGUCGAAAGGAAAGUAGUGGGUGUGUGGAAAGGAAUGUGUGUGUUAAAAGCGGUCUGCUAUAGGUUAGACGGCUUUGAUUGAGCAGUGUUGUUUUUUUCCACAACCUUACCGUACUGUUGAACAUAACAUACUCUAGGUGCAUAUCAAAGUUCCAGAGUGGGAUCUCUGCUAGUUUUAAAGUUAUGUUCCAUUUUACCAAGAAAUUGGCAUAGCAGUCAAUGUAACCAAUGCUAUAUAUAUAUAUAUAUACUAGAUGACUAAAAGGCGCAGUUUUGAAGCCCCCGCGCCUCCAUCUUGGCACUCCCCCACCGUUGCAAAAAAUAUUGCUUGCUUACAAAUUGGAUUUGAAAUCUAAAAGUGGCAGAGAUCCCACCCUGGAACUUUGAUGUGCCUGUAUAGUAUAUUAUGUUCAACAAUUUACUGAACAUUUAUCCAUAUACAUUUUUGGAUAUUUUCAAUAUUCAUGUUUAUUUUUGUCAAUAUUCAUAAAUUCAUGUAAUUAAAGGUUAUUGAAAUCAAAAUACUA